rnacentral:lncRNA from 1 species
CUCUACAAUAGCAUCUCCAUCCAUACUUACAGCCAAAUCCUCCAAAACCUCUAUCAAAUCCUCUUCAAAACCCACUUCUUCUAUCAUUCCAACUAUGGCUUCAUCACUUGAAACUAAACCCACUCUUUUUAAGUUUUUCUCUUGUUUCUUCACCCUUCUUUUAUUUACAAAAUCCAAAUCUUUGAUCUUUUGAACACUCACAAA